rnacentral:rRNA from 1 species
AACGAACGCUGGCGGCAGGCUUAACACAUGCAAGUCGAGCGCCCCGCAAGGGGAGCGGCAGACGGGUGAGUAACGCGUGGGAACGUACCCUUUGCUACGGAAUAGCUCCGGGAAACUGGAAUUAAUACCGUAUGUGCCCUUAGGGGGAAAGAUUUAUCGGCAAGAGAUGAGCCCGCGUUGGAUUAGCUAGUUGGUGGGGUAAAGGCCUACCAAGGCGACGAUCCAUAGCUGGUCUGAGAGGAUGAUCAGCCACAUUGGGACUGAGACACGGCCCAAACUCCUACGGGAGGCAGCAGUGGGGAAUAUUGGACAAUGGGCGCAAGCCUGAUCCAGCCAUGCCGCGUGAGUGAUGAAGGCCUUAGGGUUGUAAAGCUCUUUCACCGGAGAAGAUAAUGACGGUAUCCGGAGAAGAAGCCCCGGCUAACUUCGUGCCAGCCGCCGCGGUAAGAC